AAAGCUCCUCUGUGUGGGGAACAUGACAGCCAGACCACAGCUCAGAGGAUCCAUCAGAGACCAGGACCUGGACCUGGACCUCCAGCUGGCGCUGAACCCAGCUGUGUGUCCAUGAAGAGUAACCAGUCCAUUAAUCAACCUCUAGAGUUCAAACAUGUCCGUCCCUCUGUUGAUGCAAGGUCACAUCAGCAGAGAGGAAAGUCUCCUGAACCCACAUGUGUGUCC